rnacentral:rRNA from 1 species
GCUUAACACAUGCAAGUCGAGGGGCAGCAUUUCAGUUUGCUUGCAAACUGGAGAUGGCGACCGGCGCACGGGUGAGUAACACGUAUCCAACCUGCCGAUAACUCGGGGAUAGCCUUUCGAAAGAAAGAUUAAUACCCGAUGGUAUAAUCAGACCGCAUGGUCUUGUUAUUAAAGAAUUUCGGUUAUCGAUGGGGAUGCGUUCCAUUAGGCAGUUGGUGAGGUAACGGCUCACCAAACCUUCGAUGGAUAGGGGUUCUGAGAGGAAGGUCCCCCACAUUGGAACUGAGACACGGUCCAAACUCCUACGGGAGGCAGCAGUGAGGAAUAUUGGUCAAUGGGCGCAGGCCUGAACCAGCCAAGUAGCGUGAAGGAUGACUGCCCUAUGGGUUGUAAACUUCUUUUAUAUGGGAAUAAAGUUUUCCACGUGUGGAAUUUUGUAUGUACCAUAUGAAUAAGGAUCGGCUAACUCCGUGCCAGCAGCCGCGGUAAUACGGAGGAUCCGAGCGUUAUCCGGAUUUAUUGGGUUUAAAGGGAGCGUAGGUGGACAGUUAAGUCAGUUGUGAAAGUUUGCGGCUCAACCGUAAAAUUGCAGUUGAUACUGGCUGUCUUGAGUACAGUAGAGGUGGGCGGAAUUCGUGGUGUAGCGGUGAAAUGCUUAGAUAUCACGAAGAACUCCGAUUGCGAAGGCAGCUCACUGGACUGCAACUGACACUGAUGCUCGAAAGUGUGGGUAUCAAACAGGAUUAGAUACCCUGGUAGUCCACACAGUAAACGAUGAAUACUCGCUGUUUGCGAUAUACAGUAAGCGGCCAAGCGAAAGCAUUAAGUAUUCCACCUGGGGAGUACGCCGGCAACGGUGAAACUCAAAGGAAUUGACGGGGGCCCGCACAAGCGGAGGAACAUGUGGUUUAAUUCGAUGAUACGCGAGGAACCUUACCCGGGCUUAAAUUGCAUUUGAAUAUAUUGGAAACAGUAUAGCCGUAAGGCAAAUGUGAAGGUGCUGCAUGGUUGUCGUCAGCUCGUGCCGUGAGGUGUCGGCUUAAGUGCCAUAACGAGCGCAACCCUUAUCUUUAGUUACUAACAGGUCAUGCUGAGGACUCUAGAGAGACUGCCGUCGUAAGAUGUGAGGAAGGUGGGGAUGACGUCAAAUCAGCACGGCCCUUACGUCCGGGGCUACACACGUGUUACAAUGGGGGGUACAGAAGGCAGCUACCUGGUGACAGGAUGCUAAUCCCAAAAGCCUCUCUCAGUUCGGAUCGAAGUCUGCAACCCGACUUCGUGAAGCUGGAUUCGCUAGUAGUCGCGCAUCAGCCAUGGCGCGGUGAAUACGUUCCCGGGCCUUGUACACACCGCCCGUCAAGCCAUGAAAGCCGGGGGUACCUGAAGUACGUAACCGCAAGGAGCGUCCUAGGGUAAAACUGGUAAUUGGGG